AAAUUGAAGAGUUUGAUCAUGGCUCAGAUUGAACGCUGGCGGCAGGCCUAACACAUGCAAGUCGAACGGUAACAGGAAGCAGCUUGCUGCUUUGCUGACGAGUGGCGGACGGGUGAGUAAUGUCUGGGAAACUGCCUGAUGGAGGGGGAUAACUACUGGAAACGGUGGCUAAUACCGCAUAACGUCGCAAGACCAAAGAGGGGGACCUUCGGGCCUCUUGCCAUCAGAUGUGCCCAGAUGGGAUUAGCUUGUUGGUGAGGUAACGGCUCACCAAGGCGACGAUCCCUAGCUGGUCUGAGAGGAUGACCAGCCACACUGGAACUGAGACACGGUCCAGACUCCUACGGGAGGCAGCAGUGGGGAAUAUUGCACAAUGGGCGCAAGCCUGAUGCAGCCAUGCCGCGUGUAUGAAGAAGGCCUUCGGGUUGUAAAGUACUUUCAGCGGGGAGGAAGGUGUUGUGGUUAAUAACCGCAGCAAUUGACGUUACCCGCAGAAGAAGCACCGGCUAACUCCGUGCCAGCAGCCGCGGUAAUACGGAGGGUGCAAGCGUUAAUCGGAAUUACUGGGCGUAAAGCGCACGCAGGCGGUCUGUCAAGUCGGAUGUGAAAUCCCCGGGCUCAACCUGGGAACUGCAUUCGAAACUGGCAGGCUUGAGUCUUGUAGAGGGGGGUAGAAUUCCAGGUGUAGCGGUGAAAUGCGUAGAGAUCUGGAGGAAUACCGGUGGCGAAGGCGGCCCCCUGGACAAAGACUGACGCUCAGGUGCGAAAGCGUGGGGAGCAAACAGGAUUAGAUACCCUGGUAGUCCACGCCGUAAACGAUGUCUACUUGGAGGUUGUGCCCUUGAGGCGUGGCUUCCGGAGCUAACGCGUUAAGUAGACCGCCUGGGGAGUACGGCCGCAAGGUUAAAACUCAAAUGAAUUGACGGGGGCCCGCACAAGCGGUGGAGCAUGUGGUUUAAUUCGAUGCAACGCGAAGAACCUUACCUGGUCUUGACAUCCACGGAAGUUUUCAGAGAUGAGAAUGUGCCUUCGGGAACCGUGAGACAGGUGCUGCAUGGCUGUCGUCAGCUCGUGUUGUGAAAUGUUGGGUUAAGUCCCGCAACGAGCGCAACCCUUAUCCUUUGUUGCCAGCGGUCCGGCCGGGAACUCAAAGGAGACUGCCAGUGAUAAACUGGAGGAAGGGUGGGGAUGACGUCAAGUCAUCAUGGCCCUUACGACCAGGGCUACACACGUGCUACAAUGGCGCAUACAAAGAGAAGCGACCUCGCGAGAGCAAGCGGACCUCAUAAAGUGCGUCGUAGUCCGGAUUGGAGUCUGCAACUCGACUCCAUGAAGUCGGAAUCGCUAGUAAUCGUGGAUCAGAAUGCCACGGUGAAUACGUUCCCGGGCCUUGUACACACCGCCCGUCACACCAUGGGAGUGGGUUGCAAAGAAGUAGGUAGCUUAACCUUCGGGAGGGCGCUUACCACUUUGUGAUUCAUGACUGGGGUGAAGUCGUAACAAGGUAACCGUAGGGGAACCUGCGGUUGGAUCACCUCCUUA
rnacentral:rRNA from 1 species